AAUGCCCAAAGAUUCUGUCUGUAAUAGUCACCAGCUUGUUGUUACUGACUUGCUGUAGCUGAAUUGUAUUUUUUUUUUUUUUUGAGAGUUAAUCAUGGUGCCUGACUUGGUUAUGAGGGUUUCCUGGCUUUGCUUCCUUCUUUUUGGCACUGGAGCUUGUCUGCCUGCUUUCAUUAAAGGUCAGCUUGGUAGCGUCAGAAGGGUUGGUCCUCUUGGCUGGGUUCCUGGUACUGAAGGGGUUGGUGCAGUUACCUGGC